GCUAAGCACUGAACAUUGAGGAAAGCACCAUACAACACCCUCCGCCAGAGAACUACAAAUGAAAAAUUUUAAACUCAAAGGACUUGACGGUGUCCCACAUCAGCCUAGAGGAGCCUGUCCUAUAAUCGAUACCCCUCGCUUUACCUAACCUUAACUAGCAUUUUCAGCCUAUAUACCGCCGUCGACAGCUUACCCCAUGAGGGUUAAAUAGUAAACAUAAUAGUCUACCACUCAUACGUCAGGUCAAGGUGUAGCAAAUGUUAAGGAAGAGAUUGGCUACAUUUUUUAUUCUAAAAAAUACGGAAAGUAUUAUGAAACAAUACAUGAAGGCGGAUUUAGAAGUAAAAUAAAUGAGAGACUUUAUUUUAAUAUUGCUCUG
rnacentral:rRNA from 1 species